rnacentral:tRNA from 1 species
GCGGUGUAGGCCGACUGGUGAGGCACUUGAUUGUCAAUCAAGAUGAUGCGGGUUCGAUUCCCGUACCGCGCCA